AAAAGAUUAGUUAAAUUAUAACAUUAGUAUGUCAUACUAAAAUUAUUAAAAUCAAUCUUAGUAUCUUUUA
rnacentral:tRNA from 1 species